GAUGAACGCUGGCGGCGUGCCUAAUACAUGCAAGUCGAGCGAACGGACGAGAAGCUUGCUUCUCUGAUGUUAGCGGCGGACGGGUGAGUAACACGUGGAUAACCUACCUAUAAGACUGGGAUAAUUUCGGGAAACCGGAUCUAAUACCGGAUAAUAUUUUGAACCGCAUGGUUCAUAAGUGAAAGACGGUCUUGCUGUCACUUAUAGAUGGAUCCGCGCUGCAUUAGCUAGUUGGUAAGGUAACGGCUUACCAAGGCAACGAUGCAUAGCCGACCUGAGAGGGUGAUAGGCCACACGGGAACUGAGACACGGUCAAGACUCCUACGGGAGGCAGCAGUAGGGAAUCUUCCGCAAUGGGCGAAAGCCUGACGGAGCAACGCCGCGUGAGUGAUGAAGGUCUUCGGAUCGUAAAACUCUGUUAUUAGGGAAGAACAUAUGUGUAAGUAACUGUGCACAUCUUGACGGUACCUAAUCAAAAAGCCACGGCUAACUACGUG
rnacentral:rRNA from 1 species